UACGGGGGGAGCAAGCGUUGUUCGGAUUUACUGGGCGUAAAGGGCGCGUAGGCGGUCGUGACAAGUCACUUGUGAAAUCUCCGGGCUUAACUCGGAACGGUCAAGUGAUACUGUCGGACUAGAGUACAGAAGGGGCAACUGGAAUUCUCGGUGUAGCGGUGAAAUGCGUAGAGAUCAUGAGGAAGACCAGUGGCGAAGGCGGGUCUCUGGGACGGUAUUGACGCUGAGACGCGAAAGCGUGGGGAGCGAACAGG
rnacentral:rRNA from 1 species